rnacentral:misc_RNA from 1 species
AACUUUCAGCAACGGAUCACUUGGCUCUCGCAUCGAUGUAGAACGCAGCGAAAUGCGAUACGUAAUGUGAAUUGCAGAAUUCAGUGAAUCAUCGAAUCUUUGAACGCACCUUGCGCCCCUUGGAAUUCCGAGGGUCACACCCGUUUGAGUGUCGUGAGCAUCCUUCAACCUUUCUUGGAUUCUUAACCGGGGAAGGCUUGGACUUUGGGGGUCUUUCAUUGCUGGCCUCUUUGAAGCCAGCUCCUCCUAAAUGGAUUAGUGUGGUCUGCUUUGCCGAUCCUUGACGUGAUAAGAUGUUUCUACGUCUUGGGUUUCGCACUGUCGCUUUAGACCCCGCUUCUAACCGUCUUGCAUUCAAGACAGAGUUUUAAACCUUGACCUCAAAUCGGGUGAGACUACCCGCUGAACUUAAGCAUAUCAAUAAGCGGAGGCU